UUUGAAAUCGGCCCCCAGGUCGAGUUGUAAUUUGUAGAUUGUAUCUUGAGAGCGGAUUAAAGUCUGUUGGAACACAGCGCCUUAGAGGGUGACAGCCCCGUAAAAUCUAUUCUCAUUGUAAGAUACUUUCGAAGAGUCGAGUUGUUUGGGAAUGCAGCUCUAAGUGGGAGGUAAAUUCCUUCUAAAGCUAAAUAUUGACGAGAGACCGAUAGCGAACAAGUACUGUGAAGGAAAGAUGAAAAGCACUUUGAAAAGAGAGUGAAAAAGUACGUGAAAUUGUUAAAAGGGAAGGGUAUUGAAUCAGACUUGGUGCUGUUGUUCAACUGUGUUUCGGCACAGUGUACUCAGCAGUACUAGGCCAAGGUGGGGUGUUUGGGAGUGAAAAAGAAGUUGGAACGUAACUCUUCGGAGUGUUAUAGCCUACUUUCAUAGCUCCUCAGGCGCCUCAGGACUGCGCU
rnacentral:rRNA from 1 species